AGAACAUAAAGAGAAGAAGGUCGCAGACUCUUAUCAGCUGUCCGAUAAACAGCGUGUUCAUGGCUUUGUGAAGAUGACAUUACCCUUUCUGGUGGGAACUUAUAAGAGCAUUAUAAAGGAACAAAGUGACCCGUCCGAUUGUGACAGAAGCAUGUGUCAAAGGAGCUGAUAAUGGCUAAAGAUCACCUCACAGUCUCAGCCUUCAGCUUUUAUAAUUAUGACGUAAAUGUAGAAUUGUUUAGAGGUCUAACACAUUGUAAUUUGAGUUGUGAAGUCGACAGGUUUGAAUGUGCAGAAGCAUGACUAAGAUUUGAGAGCUACUGCUGAUUUACAGCGAAUAGUGACUUGACUUUUGCCUGUUCCUCACUCUGUGGUUUCCCUACGCCGCACAUGUUAAGUGUGCGGCCUGUGGAAGCGGUUGCAUGCAGGUGUAUUCACACGCACACACCCUCAUGCCGGCAAAAGCAGGUGACGUAAGAUAGCAUUCAUCUCACAAUGAGUUUCAUCAGAUCUCUGCUCCUCACAGAUGACACUGUGAUCUCACUGAUGAAUCAAAGCCAAAGAAUGCACCACAUCCCUCCCUUCUCUCACUAGUUUUUGGUGUCACUAGUCACCAUGUUGGUUUUGCUUUCACUCAACAACAAGCUUUUUUUUAAAAUCAUUAUAUCUACUUAAUCACUGCUGAAACAGGAAACUAAAGUGUGAUUCAAUGUUGCUACUUCGUGAAAUUAAUGUUUGGGCAUCUUACAUAAAGCCUCUCCCAACAUAAUAUCUGGAGCAAAGAUACAAAGGUAUAUAAUGUGAACAGGCUGACUUUUCACAGAUGCAUUCCACUAAUCAAAAUAAAACUAUAUAACACAUGGCUUUUUUGGUGACUGUGCCUAUUUAAAUUGAAAUAAUGAUUAAAAUAUGCAAAUUAAGGAUCUUAAAUAUAUACACAUUUUUAUUUUAUAUAAGACCCCACAGAAAAUGUCUUUUAUAUGCGAUCAACAACUUACUGGUUGCUACAAGGCUGCAUUUAUUUGAUCAAAAAUACAUUAAACAGUAAUUUUCUGAAAUAUUAUCAUUUCAAAUAACUGUUUUCUAUAUUAAUAUAUUUUAAAGGUUAAAUCAUUCUGAUGUACUGAUCUGCUGAUCAAGAAACAUUAUUGUCAAAACAGUUCAGCUGCUUCAUAUUUUUGUGGAAGCAUUUAUUUGACCUUUGUAACAUUCUAAAUAAGAAUCCUCAUUUAUUUGAACAGAAUAGAUCCCAUGCAUUCUUUCAUCAGGUGAGUCGAGGUCAAAACUGAUCAAAUGUUCGACACAGAAAACAAGUCGCAGCUGGGACAGUAAUCUACACGUCCCACCUGGUGCUGCUAUUAAUGGCAAAGGAGAACAAUAAAAGCUGGUGAUGCAGGAAGGCGCAGGGUGACGCUCACCCAGGGGGUGAACCCCCUCAUCAUUCAUGAGAGGGAAAGGCCCAAGGUCCUUAUGACUGAUUAUAAUCCACUUCCUCUGUGUGCCAAUGUGGGUUUAUAAACAGACCAACACAACCUACAAAUAAACCAUUAGACCAAAAUGGUGGACUAGUUGCCUGACAAUCAAAUAAUCUUUUAAAUUCUUGAUAUAAUCGAAUUACAGAAGCCCCAUAAGAAACUGUCUGCUUGGUGUCUAAUGGGUGUGAGAAUGCAUUAUCUAAAGACAAACUAGCUGAUUCUGAAAAGAUGUACUUCUGUGUGUGAAGUGGGCUUAUUAAAAACCAAACCCGCACACAUUGAGGACACAUGGGGUGCUUUCUCUUACAUGCGUACAUAGUCUCUCUGGCUGGCACACAGACACACAGUCUGGUCAGCAGAGAUAGCAUUUUCUGCAACAUUACAGAUGAACACACACGGAGUUAAAAGCAGCAGCCUAUCUGUCCAGACGAGCACGUCCCAGAGAGCUGUGAUGGAGCCACGGGAGACGGACAGGGGCGUAAGAGUGCUAUUUGUUCUGUUUAUCAUCACAGACCCAUGAUAAAGUCUGUUGCUAUGGACACCUUCAUCCUCCCUCUGUGGAGAAACGUAAAAGAAACAGAGGACAUGCCGCACAUGGAGGAGAAGAGAUGAGGAACACUCCAUUCCUGCCCAAAAACCUCAAAAAGACAGAUGCAAUACAUUUAGAAAUAAAUGCUGUUCUUUUGCACCGUCUAUUAAUGAAAUAAGAAUAUAUAUAUAUAUGGUUUCUGAAAAAGAAAAUUCUUCUUUACACAUUCGGCUAUUUUCUCAAUAGCAAAAUGUUAUCUUAAAUUGCAAUAAUAUUU